rnacentral:misc_RNA from 1 species
GAUGAAGAACGCAGCGAAAUGCGAUAAGUAAUGCGAAUUGCAGAAUUCAGUGAAUCAUCGAAUCUUUGAACGCACAUUGCGCCCCAUGGUAUUCCAUCGGGCACACCCGUUCGAGCGUCAUUGCAACACUCAGGCACCGCCUGGUAUUGGGCGCCGCCAUCGAGGGCGCGCCUCAAACUCCUCGGCGUCGCCGUCCGUCCUCGAGCGCAGCGAGAACUCUUCCAGCGCUACCGAGGCGGGCCGUGGCCGCCGCAACGCCAUAAUUCUUUCAAUGUUGACCUCGGAUCGGGUGGGGAUACCCGCUGAACUUAAGCAUAUCAAUAAGCGGAGGA